rnacentral:rRNA from 1 species
AACGAACGCUGGCGGCAUGCCUAACACAUGCAAGUCGAACGAGACCUUCGGGUCUAGUGGCGCACGGGUGCGUCACGCGUGGGAACCUGCACUUAGGUUCGGAAUAACUCCCCGUAAGGGGUGCUAAUACCGGAUAAUGUCUUCGGACCAAAGAUUUAUCGCCUUUGGAUGGGCCCGCGUUGGAUUAGCUAGUUGGUAGGGUAAAAGCCUACCAAGGCGACGAUCCAUAGCUGGUCUGUGAGGAUGAUCAGCCACACUGGGACUGAGACACGGCCCAGACUACUACGGGAGGCAGCAGUGGGGAAUAUUGGACAAUGGGCUAAAGCCUGAUCCAGUAAUGCCUCGUGAGUGAUGAAGUCCUUAGGGUUGUAAAGCUCGUUUACCCGGGAUGAUAAUGACAGUACCGGGAGAAUAAGCUCCGGCUAACUCCGUG